UACGCCCGAUCUCGUCCGAUCUCGGAAGCUAAGCAGGGUCGGGCCCGGUUAGUACUUGGAUGGGAGACCGCCUGGGAAUACCAGGUGCUGUAAGCUU
rnacentral:rRNA from 1 species